UCCUGGUAAAAUGGUUAUAAAUUCAUCCUGACUCACACUUUUUUUCCAGAAUGAAUUUAUAAAAUGAUGAACUCUCACUUCCUAAAUUUUCUGCAGAUGCCACUGUUGCUGGAGAAAUGUCACUGCUAGAGAAUAGAAGACUAUUAUUCCAAAGGGUAUUUGAGACUGACUGAAUCAGGUUUGGAACAUUAUUGAAAUGAGACCCACAAAGGAAGAGAUACUGAGUAAUUCAGCAUUUCCAGUGACACCUUUCUGGCUGUGCUUCAAAGGGAAGAUGACGCUAGAGCUGGCAGCAUGACCAGCACUGUGUAAAUCACCCAGACAGACAACAACACAACAUCCAUGAAUAGAUGGCAGAGUUAGCAAGAAAAAAUAGCUUGGAGGAUGGAAAAACCCCAAAGGCCUAACUCUACCAAGAGGAGCAAAAACUGGACACUGUGUAACUUCGCAGAAUUAGCAACACGGACCCGUUACACAUGGCAGCACUGUGCAGUGGUUGGAAGUGCAGCCUUCAAAGCCAACUGCUUGGAUUUGGAAUCUUGCUCUUCCAUUUACAAGCUCUGCAACCUCAGGUAAGUCACUUAUCUUCUCUGUGCCUAUGUCUUCAUCUUUAAGAAGGAAAGUAACAAUAGCUACCUUAUUGUUAU
rnacentral:lncRNA from 1 species